rnacentral:lncRNA from 1 species
GAUGUUUAUGGUCAUCAUUUAAGUCUUAGAUAUAACUUCUUUUUUUUAAUGUUUGUGUUCACAAACUAUUCAAUAAGGGUGUGUUCACUUGAACAAAUUAUAUUGUUCAAAUGAAUUGGAGACUGAGGAAAUGAAAAGCAACUGUGUUCGCAUGAUUUGGAAGGAAUGAUUUUCGCUAAUUUGUGAGAUGAGGUGUUUCUUUUCAUCCCUUGUAAUGUAAAGAGAUUUGAAGAUAAUUGUAGUAAAAAAUCUUUUUUACCCCUGAUAGAGAACGCACAAUUACUCCUCCACUUUCCUCCUGCCCACCUCUCUUUCCUCCACGUGUUGAUAUUUAUCCAAGAAGAAAAAAAAGGGAGCUUCAAAAAAAGAGACUUGCUUUUUUUUAUUAUUAUAUAUAUAUAUUUUAGUUUUCUUUUUUUUCUUUUUCUACAGCCAAUGAGCCCGGCCAGUACCUAGUCGGGCUCUUUUUGUUUUAUUCCCAUGAAUAUUUAAAAAAAAUUCUUUAUUUGAAUUUAUUUGAUUCGAAAAAAAAAAAAAAAUUGUAAAAAUAUUUGUAAUUAAAAAAAAUAAGCGAUACGGAUAGAUUCCUAUUAGAUAAAACUAAAAUAAGAUAAUAAAAAAAUGUUCUCUUUUCUGACCCCCUCUAUUUUUUCUGGUAACGUAAAUAGUAUAAGCAGCAGUCCCCAACUUUUCUUCAUCUCCUUAUUUCUAUUUCUUCAGCUCCUGAUUUUUAUUAUUCAAAUACAAUCUUUUACUUUAUUUCUCUUCUACUUCCAUUUAUUAUAUAUCUUUUGCUUGUAUACUUUACUAAUAAUAAUAAUAAUUAAGGUUAAUUUUUUAUUUUUUAUAAACAUUUUUACAAUUAAAUAUAACAUUAACUAAUAUCAUUUUAUAUUACUUUAAUACUAAGAGGUAUAUUGGUAAUCUUCAAUUUCUACCAAUUAAACAAAUUUUUUAAAACUGUCACAUCAAUCAAAUCCUACACUAAUUCUCACAAACUUCACUCCAAAUCCACUCUCAAUUACCUUCAAAUCCACUCAAUCGCUCUCAUCCAAAUCAUCUCCCCCAAUCACCCCAAAGUAAACACACCCUAAGACUUUUAAAUUCAGUACAUAGUUUAUAUUAAAAAAAAAAUAUUUUUGUAAAGUUAAAAUCAAGCACAAAAAACUUUAUCCGCAUUUAAGAUUUAAUUAUAAUUGAUUAAA